rnacentral:rRNA from 1 species
UGGUCCCUACGGGGGGCAGCAGUAGGGAAUCUUCCACAAUGGACGAAAGUCUGAUGGAGCAACGCUGCGUGAGUGAAGAAGGGUUUCGGCUCGUAAAGCUCUGUUGGUAGGGAAGAAGGAUAGAGGUAGUAACUGGCCUUUAUUUGACGGUAAUUACUUAGAAAGUCACGGCUAACUACGUGCCAGCAGCCGCGGUAAUACGUAGGUGGCAAGCGUUGUCCGGAUUUAUUGGGCGUAA